UACAGAGGUGGCAAGCGUUGUUCGGAAUCACUGGGCGUAAAGCGCACGUAGGCGGCUUUCUAAGUCAGGGGUGAAAUCCUGGAGCUCAACUCCAGAACUGCCUUUGAUACUGGAAGGCUUGAGUCCGGGAGAGGUGAGUGGAACUGCGAGUGUAGAGGUGAAAUUCGUAGAUAUUCGCAAGAACACCAGUGGCGAAGGCGGCUCACUGGCCCGGUACUGACGCUGAGGUGCGAAAGCGUGGGGAGCAAACAGG
rnacentral:rRNA from 1 species